CGUCACUCAACGGGGUGCCCUGCACAAGGGCUGAGACCAUACCCGCGGAACCUGAUCCGGCCGGCGCCUUGCGCUCCGCUACCGGCGUAGGGAUUGAGUCACCACGUUCA
rnacentral:ncRNA from 2 species